UGGGGAAUAUUGCACAAUGGAGGGAACUCUGAUGCAGCGACGCCGCGUGAACGAAGAAGGCUUUCGAGUCGUAAAGUUCUUUUAUAUGGGAAGAUAAUGACGGUACCAUAAGAAAAAGCCCCGGCUAACUACGUGCCAGCAGCCGCGGUAAUACGUAGGGGGCUAGCGUUGUCCGGAAUCACUGGGCGUAAAGGGUUCGCAGGCGGAAAUGCAAGUCAGGUGUAAAAGGCAGUAGCUUAACUACUGUAAGCAUUUGAAACUGCAUAUCUGGAGAAGAGUAGAGGUAAGUGGAAUUUUUAGUGUAGCGGUGAAAUGCGUAGAUAUUAAAAAGAAUACCGGUGGCGAAGGCGACUUACUGGGCUCAUUCUGACGCUGAGGAACGAAAGCGUGGGUAGCAAACAGG
rnacentral:rRNA from 3 species